GUAGUGACAGCCCACAACACUGACAGAGGUCAGGGGUAAGGAGAAGAGCUAUGGGUGGCAGGAUCUCAUGACAUAUGUCCUUCCCUUUCUCAUGAGGAUUGUGGCUUCGUGUGGACCAGCAGAGGAUGCUGAGGCUAGCCAGCUGUGCGUGGCUCCUCUCCCAGAAUGAUGUUCCUGUCCUAAGCACCGUGGUAACAGAGGAGAAAGAAGUCCAAAGGAGGCACAGCACAAAGAAGAAAACAUCUAGCCAUAAGAGAUCUCUUCCUGCUGAAAUUGAAAAUCUUCCACUAAAUGGAAUCAAUCACACGUUAUCAGCCAAAGAGAAAUCAAGAUCCAUUUGGAAAGGUCAGAUACGGCAGGACGUUUAAAAUGUUGAUGACACUACAUUAAACAACGGUUCUGUCUCCUGCCAUUGACCUCUGAGGAUCCCUCCAUUCUGGCUGCUUCUUACUUGAAUUGGGUUCAGUCCUGCAGAUUCCACCAGAAGCAUUCCUGCAUCAGGCACCAGCGGCCAGUCCUCCGGGGAAGCUGUGUGUGUGCCGAGCAUCUCCAGCCGCGGCUCCUACCGAGGACCCAGGACAGAGAUCCCAUCACAGACAACCGGGAGGGGGCUUGUGUUUAGUAGAACA